AACCUGCGUAGAGGCGCUGUUUUCAUCAGUAUUGCGAGCUAGUUGGCAAACUUAUCUCGUAAGAAAGGGAAAAUAGCCGAAGAAUUUAUCUGGGCACAGAUUUUUUCUGGGGUAGUAUAAAAUAUAUACUGCACUGUCACUUGUUUAGUGUUGAGCUACAAGGUUU
rfam:Clostridium hiranonis DSM 13275 Scfld3 genomic scaffold, whole genome shotgun sequence.